rnacentral:rRNA from 1 species
UGGGGAAUUUUGGACAAUGGGCGAAAGCCUGAUCCAGCAAUGCCGCGUGAGUGAAGAAGGCCUUCGGGUUGUAAAGCUCUUUUGUCAGGGAAGAAACGGUGAAAGCUAAUAUCUUUUGCUAAUGACGGUACCUGAAGAAUAAGCACCGGCUAACUACGUGCCAGCAGCCGCGGUAAUACGUAGGGUGCAAGCGUUAAUCGGAAUUACUGGGCGUAAAGCGUGCGCAGGCGGUUUUGUAAGUCUGAUGUGAAAUCCCCGGGCUCAACCUGGGAAUUGCAUUGGAGACUGCAAGGCUAGAAUCUGGCAGAGGGGGGUAGAAUUCCACGUGUAGCAGUGAAAUGCGUAGAUAUGUGGAGGAACACCGAUGGCGAAGGCAGCCCCCUGGGUCAAGAUUGACGCUCAUGCACGAAAGCGUGGGGAGCAAACAGGAUUAGAUACCCGAGUAGUCCCUGAGCGGGCUGGCAAGGCG